UGCCCCAUGGCUGAGUUGGUUACAGCGUCCGACUGUUACAUUAAUUGGGUACCAAUCGGAAGGUCGUGAGUUCGAGCCUCACUGGGGCAG